GGGAAAAGACUUAUGAAUGAGAGUCUGACGGAGCACGCCGCGUGAGUGAUGAAGGCUUUCGGGUCGUAAAACUCUGUUGUUAGGGAAGAACAAGUGCUAGUUGAAUAAGCUGGCACCUUGACGGUACCUAACCAGAAAGCCACGGCUAACUACGUGCCAGCAGCCGCGGUAAUACGUAGGUGGCAAGCGUUAUCCGGAAUUAUUGGGCGUAAAGCGCGCGCAGGUGGUUUCUUAAGUCUGAUGUGAAAGCCCACGGCUCAACCGUGGAGGGUCAUUGGAAACUGGGAGACUUGAGUGCAGAAGAGGAAAGUGGAAUUCCAUGUGUAGCGGUGAAAUGCGUAGAGAUAUGGAGGAACACCAGUGGCGAAGGCGACUUUCUGGUCUGUAACUGACACUGAGGCGCGAAAGCGUGGGGAGCAAACAGGAUUAGAUACCCCGGGUAGUCAAGU
rnacentral:rRNA from 2 species